AUUGAACGCUGGCGGCAGGCCUAACACAUGCAAGUCGAGCGGAUGAAGGGAGCUUGCUCCUGGAUUCAGCGGCGGACGGGUGAGUAAUGCCUAGGAAUCUGCCUGGUAGUGGGGGAUAACGUCCGGAAACGGGCGCUAAUACCGCAUACGUCCUGAGGGAGAAAGUGGGGGAUCUUCGGACCUCACGCUAUCAGAUGAGCCUAGGUCGGAUUAGCUAGUUGGUGGGGUAAAGGCCUACCAAGGCGACGAUCCGUAACUGGUCUGAGAGGAUGAUCAGUCACACUGGAACUGAGACACGGUCCAGACUCCUACGGGAGGCGGCAGUGGGGAAUAGUGGACAAUGGGCGAAAGCCUGAUCCAGCCAUGCCGCGUGUGUGAAGAAGGUCUUCGGAUUGUAAAGCACUUUAAGUUGGGAGGAAGGGCAGUAAGUUAAUACCUUGCUGUUUUGACGUUACCAACAGAAUAAGCACCGGCUAACUUCGUG
rnacentral:rRNA from 1 species